rnacentral:rRNA from 1 species
UCUGGCGGCGCACAUAAGACAUGCAAGUCGAACGAACUUAAUCGUUAUUUUACUAGUGGAGCGGUUAGUGGCGGACUGGUGAGUAACACGUAAGCAACCUGUCUAUUAGAGGGGAACAACAGUUAGAAAUGACUGCUAAUACCGCAUAUGCCAUAAGUAUCGCAUGAUACAAGUGGGAAAGGAGCAAUCCACUAAUAGAUGGGCUUGCGUCUGAUUAGAUAGUUGGUGGGGUAACGGCCUACCAAGUCGACGAUCAGUAGCCGAGUUGAGAGACUCUACGGCCACAUUGGGACUGAGAUACGGCCCAGACUCCUACGGGAGGCAGCAGUCGGGAAUAUUGCGCAAUGGAGGAAACUCUGACGCAGUGACGCCGCGUGCAGGAAGAAGGUUUUCGGAUUGUAAACUGCUUUAGACAGGGAAGAAAAAGACAGUACCUGUAGAAUAAGCUCCGGCUAACUACGUGCCAGCAGCCGCGGUAAUACGUAGGGAGCAAGCGUUAUCCGGAUUUAUUGGGUGUAAAGGGUGCGUAGACGGGAAAAUAAGUUAGUUGUGAAAUCCCCAUGCUUAACAUGGGAACUGCAACUAAAACUGUUUUUCUUGAGUGCUGGAGAGGAAAGUGGAAUUCCUAGUGUAGCGGUGAAAUGCGUAGAUAUUAGGAGGAACACCAGUGGCGAAGGCGACUUUCUGGACAGUAACUGACGUUGAGGCACGAAAGUGUGGGGAGCAAACAGGAUUAGAUACCCUGGUAGUCCACACCGUAAACGAUGG